rnacentral:rRNA from 1 species
GAUGAACGCUGGCGGCGUGCUUAACACAUGCAAGUCGAACGAGAAGUGAAGACGGAAACCUUCGGGCGGAAGGCUUUAUUUCGAGUGGCGGACGGGUGAGUAACGCGUGGGUAACCUGCCUCAUACAGGGGGAUAACAGUUGGAAACGACUGUUAAUACCGCAUAAGACCACAGCACCGCAUGGUGCGGGGGUAAAAACUCCGGUGGUAUGAGAUGGACCCGCGUUCGAUUAGCCAGUUGGCGGGGUAACGGCCCACCAAAGCGACGAUCGAUAGCCGAUCUGAGAGGAUGACCGGCCACAUUGGGACUGAGACACGGCCCAAACUCCUACAGGAGGCAGCAGUGGGGAAUAUUGCACAAUGGGGGAAACCCUGAUGCAGCGACGCCGCGUGAGUGAAGAAGUAUUUCGGUAUGUAAAGCUCUAUCAGCAGGGAAGAAAAUGACGGUACCUGAGUAAGAAGCCCCGGCUAACUACGUG